rfam:Planctomycetes bacterium GWF2_41_51 gwf2_scaffold_1328, whole genome shotgun sequence.
GGCGGCGUAGCCAAGUGGCCCAAGGCGAUGGUUUGCAAAACCAUUAUCCGUGGGUUCGAAUCCCACCGCCGCCU